rnacentral:rRNA from 1 species
AGUAAAUAGAUACCCCGGUAGUCCACGCCGUAAACGAUGUCGACUUGGAGGUUGUGCCCUUGAGGCGUGGCUUCCGGAGCUAAACGCGUUAAAGUCGACCGCCUGGGGAGUACGGCCGCAAGGUUAAAACUCAAAUGAAUUGACGGGGCGUCGCACAAGCGGUGGAGCAUGUGGUUUAAUUCGAUGCAACGCGAAGAACCUUACCUACUCUUGACAUCCAGAGAACUUAGCAGAGAUGCUUUGGUUGCCUUCGGGUAACGUCUGAGACAGGUGCUGCAUGGCUGUCGUCAGCUCGUGUUGUGAAAUGUUGGGUUAAGUCCCGCAACGAGCGCAACCCUUAUCCUUUGUUGCCAGCGGUUAGGCCGGGAA